rnacentral:rRNA from 1 species
AACGAACGCUGGCGGCAUGCCUAACACAUGCAAGUCGAACGAGACCUUCGGGUCUAGUGGCGCACGGGUGCGUAACGCGUGGGAACCUGCCCUUAGGUUCGGAAUAACUCCCCGAAAGGGGUGCUAAUACCGGAUAAUGUCUUCGGACCAAAGACUUAUCGCCUUUGGAUGGGCCCGCGUUGGAUUAGCUAGUUGGUAGGGUAAAAGCCUACCAAGGCGACGAUCCAUAGCUGGUCUGAGAGGAUGAUCAGCCACACUGGGACUGAGACACGGCCCAGACUCCUACGGGAGGCAGCAGUGGGGAAUAUUGGACAAUGGGCGAAAGCCUGAUCCAGCAAUGCCGCGUGAGUGAUGAAGGCCUUAGGGUUGUAAAGCUCUUUUAACCGGGAUGAUAAUGACAGUACCGGGAGAAUAAGCUCCGGCUAACUACGUG